rnacentral:rRNA from 1 species
UACGUAGGGGGCAAGCGUUGUCCGGAUUUAUUGGGCGUAAAGAGCGUGUAGGCGGUUUGGUAGGUCCGCUGUGAAAACUCGAGGCUCAACCUCGAGACGCCGGUGGAAACCAUCAGACUAGAGUCCGGAAGAGGAGAGUGGAAUUCCUGGUGUAGCGGUGAAAUGCGCAGAUAUCAGGAGGAACACCGGUGGCGAAGGCGGAUCUCUGGGCCAUUACUGACGCUGAGGAGAGAAAGCGUGGGGAGCGAACAGG